AGACGCUACAGAAUGAAUCUUGGCGGAGGGGUCCCUGCUGGGGCUCAAAGGGAACCACGUGUCGACAGGCACAACCUUCAGCUUCCUGACCU
ensembl:misc_RNA